rnacentral:rRNA from 1 species
GAUGAACGCUGGCGGCGUGCCUAAUACAUGCAAGUCGAGCGAACGGACGAGAAGCUUGCUUCUCUGAUGUUAGCGGCGGACGGGUGAGUAACACGUGGAUAACCUACCUAUAAGACUGGGAUAACUUCGGGAAACCGGAGCUAAUACCGGUUGAUAUUUUGAACCGCAGGGUUCAAAAGUGAAAGACGGUCUUGCUGUCCCUUAUAGAUGGAUCCGCGCUGCAUUAGUUAGUUGGUAAGGUAACGGCUUACCAAGGCAACGAUGCAUAGCCGACCUGAGAGGAGGAUCGGCCACACUGGAACUGAGACACGGUCCAGACUCCUACGGGAGGCAGCAGUAGGGAAUCUUCCGCAAUGGGCGAAAGCCUGACGGAGCAACGCCGCGUGAGUGAUGAAGGUCUUCGGAUCGUAAAACUCUGUUAUUAGGGAAGAACAUAUGUGUAAGUAACUGUGCACAUCUUGACGGUACCUAAUCAGAAAGCCACGGCUAACUACGUG